CUUUAACAAGAGUGUAUAUGAAAUCUUUCACUUCUCAAACACAAACUGGACUUUUUCAUGGUUGAUCACAAGUCAGAUAUGAAGAUGUUUUGUGUUCAACUGUUUGUUUUGAUUUGUUUGUAUGCUGCAGUACAGCCGUCCAGUCAAACAGAUGGCAGCUCUUUUCUCAUCUACAAUGAGGAUCACAACAGAUGUGUGAAUGUCAUUAAUGCCAAUGUUGUACAGACGGCACCGUGUGAUGUAUCUUCUGACGCUCAGCGUUUCCGAUGGGUUUCUUCUUCAAGAAUUAUCAGCGUCUCUCUUAAACUCUGUUUGGGAGCUCAAAACGUUAAAGACUCUGAGAAAGUGAUUCUUCUGCCCUGUAAAGAGCUCAGUCCUCUACAGACCUGGGAAUGUAAGAAUGAGACCUUGUUUGGCUUAAAGGGACAACCGUUACAUCUGAACUACGGCCAUCGAGCGGACCAAAAUAUGAUGCUGUUUAAGGGAAAUGGAUCUUGGAGUCGCUGGCAGAUUUAUGGGACUACAGACAAUCUGUGUUCUCAUGGAUAUCAAGAGAUUUAUACUCUGGGUGGGAAUUCAUUUGGAAAGCCAUGUCAGUUUCCCUUUAAGUUUAAUGACAAGUGGUAUGCUGAGUGCACCAUGGACGGAAAAUCAGAUGGCAAACUGUGGUGUUCAACUGAGACAGAUUAUGAUGCAGACAAGAAGUGGGGCCUCUGUCCAGCCAAAAACGUCUCAGGAUGGGACAGUGAUCCAGUAACUGGUGUAUUAUAUCAGAGAAACACACAAUCAGCACUGACCUGGCAUCAAGCUCGAGCCAGCUGUCAACAACAAGAUGCAGAUCUUCUCAGUAUAUCAGAACUACAUGAACAGUCUUAUAUAUCAGGCUUGACAGAUCUCUUGGGUUCAGCUUUAUGGAUCGGACUCAACAGUCUUGACUUUGAGAGUGGAUGGCAAUGGAGUAAUGGAAACCCAUUCAGAUAUCUCAACUGGGCUCCUGGUCAUCCCUCUCUGGAGCCGGGCCUUAACUGUGCUGCAUUAAACGCUGGUAAAGCAUCCAAGUGGGAAAGUUUGGCCUGCAAUAAGAAGUUAGGUUACAUUUGCCGCAAGGGAAAUUCAACAGAUAUCACACCUUCAACAGGGAAAGAUCAGCCUAACUUCUGUCCAGUGGCAUGGGUGCCGUACGCCGGUCACUGUUAUUAUUUGCAGCGCACCAAGAAGACGUGGAGUGAUGCUUUGGCUGAGUGUCACAGAGAAGGAUCAGAUCUGGCCAGCAUUCACAACAUAGAAGAACACAGUUUCAUCAUAUCACAGACUGGAUACAUGUCGACUGAUGAGCUCUGGAUUGGUCUUAAUGAUCAAAGGAUUCAGAAUCUGUUUGAGUGGUCAGAUAGAUCACACGUCACCUUCACUAAAUGGUUUGUUGGAGAACCUUCACACAUCACAAAUCGAAUGGAGGAUUGUGUUCUUAUCAGAGGACAGGAGGGAAAGUGGUCAGAUCAUCUGUGUGAGUCAGCUCAUGGUUUCAUCUGUAAGAAGAAAGCUUCCAUUAAACCUGAAGGAUCUCCAGAGGUCAUCAGUCCUGGAUGUCCAGCUGGUUGGUUUAGGUUUGGCUAUUACUGUUAUAAUGUUGCCAUGGAAACCAAAACUUUUGAGGAUGCCAAACUGACGUGUGAGCAGACCGCAGCUAACCUGGUUGAUAUUGGCAGCAGAUAUGAGAGUGCGUUUCUCAUCAGUCUGGUUGGUCUUCGACAUGAGAAAUAUUUCUGGAUUGGUUUGUCUAAUACUCAUCAGAAUGAGCGAUUCCAGUGGAUCAAUGGUGCUAAAGUCAAGUUUACACACUUUAAUGUAGGCAUGCCAGAUAAGCACCGAGGUUGUGUAGCAAUGUUAACAGGAACUUCAGCAGGAUUAUGGGAUGUAUUGGCAUGUAACACUAAACAGAAAUACAUCUGUAAGAAAAUGGCAGAAGGAGUCACGACAACCCGAGAGCCUCCGACCACACGACCUCCCAGCUGCGCGGAUAAUUGGAUUAAAAAAGAUCCAGGAAGUUGUAUUCAGAUCUAUAGAAUGACAAAGGAUAAGAAGAAGACGUGGUUUGAAGCGCGUGACUUCUGUCGAGCUGUUGGUGGUGAUUUAGCGAGCUUUCAUUCAGAAGAUGAAAUGAAUGUGUUACCGGUUUUCACUUCAUACCCAACGUGGAUUGGCUUCACUUCAUUGGACAGUAAUUCUGGUUUUGUGUGGUCAGAUCAAACUCCUUCCGAUUAUCAGAACUGGGCCUCUGGUGAACCAAACAACUACAACAAUAAUGAGAACUGUGCUGAAUAUGGCAGUAAUUAUGGACGCAAGUGGAAUAAUCGGGAUUGUGAUACUUAUAUGGACUGGAUCUGUCAGAUUCCAAUAGGCACACAUCCAAAAUCCCCAUCAACAUCAGUCAUUCAAGAAUUUAACAAGACGUCUGAUGGCUGGAUUCAGUACAAUGGCAGUCAGUAUUUCAUUAAUAAGGAACGGCACCCUAUGGAAGAAGCUCGUGACUUUUGUAAGAAGAAUCAUGCUGAUCUUGUUGUCAUUAAUGGUCAGACUGAGAGGAGGUUUUUAUGGAAGCAGAUAUCUAGAAGUGAAGGAUCACAAGCUCAGUACUACAUUGGGAUGACUGUAGAGUUGGACAAAUCAUUUAGUUGGGUGGACGGUUCACCUGUUGUAUACACUGCAUGGGAACGAAAUGAACCAAAUUUUGCCAACAAUGAUGAGAACUGUGUGACCGUUUUCAAAAGCACAGGACUCUGGAAUGAUAUUAAUUGUGGUUAUUCAUUACCCUCGAUCUGUAAAAGAAGUGAUGAUUUUGUCAACACCACCAUGUCUCCAACCACUGUACCAGCGGGCGGCUGCGCUCCUGAAUGGACUCUGUUCAGAGGAAAAUGUUACAAAUUUUUUGAUAAUAAGAUGUCAUGGCAAAAAUCAAGAGAUCACUGCAUUUCAAAUGGAGGCAAUCUGGUGUCCGUUCGGAGUCACACAGAGCAAUUUUUUCUCACAACUUUAAUGCUUAGUGCUGUUGAUGACGUGUGGAUCGGUUUAAAUGACAUUGCCUCAGAGAGAAACUUUAUGUGGACCGACAAUCGAGCUGUCAGAUACACAAACUGGCUUAAAGGUCAACCUUCAUCAAGUUUACAGUCAAGACACUUUUUUGACGAAGACUAUGAUGAGAUGGACGAAGACUAUUUUGAGAUGGAAGUAUUUGAGUUGGGACCUAUGCACCAUCAAUCUGCACACCAUACAAUUGAAUAUAUGAACUAUGACUGUGUUGUGAUGGUUAAACACCCAGAGAAGUCCACUGGUAUGUGGAAAGUUGAAGACUGUAAAGAUGAGAGAGGUUUCAUCUGCAAGAGGAACACAGACUCUCAGCUGUCCGCUCCCGUGACCAAAGCAGUACCACAUAAAUACUUCAGUCUGGGCAAUGAUUCAUAUAAGCUCCAGCUGGAGAAGAUGAGCUGGGAUGAAGCGAGAAGACAGUGUAAAGCUGAUGAUGCUGAUCUUGCGAGUGUACUGGACUCCAUCAGUCAGGCGUACACAAGCCUACAAGUCGACAAACUUAAAGAACCUUUGUGGAUCGGACUCAACAGUGAACUGACAGGUGGACGCUAUCGCUGGGUGGAUAACUGGCUUCUAAGCUACAGUAAAUGGGCUACAGGAGAACCCAAAAACAAUUUAGCUUGUGUUUAUAUUGACACGGAUGGAGACUGGAAAACUGCAGCGUGUAUCAACACAUAUUAUUCCCUCUGUAAACGAUCAACAGUUUUUGUCCCUACAGAUCCUCCUCAGCUGCCGGGUAACUGCCCCGAAUCAGAUCAGACGAAAAGUUGGAUCCCGUUUAGAGGACACUGCUAUACGUUCAUGACCUCCAUGAGUGACAUCUGGGCUCAUGCCACAGUAGAAUGUAUGAGAAUGGGUGCAUCUUUAGUGAGUAUUGAGGAUCCAAUAGAAUCACAGUUUAUUCGACAAAACCUGGAGAUCCUGCAGGAUGAAGUCAAGUCAGUCUGGAUUGGACUUCACCGCAGUCAUAUGGGUGAUUGGAUGUGGAUUGAUAAUACGGUUGUGGAUUACACGAACUGGAAACCGCGGAUGCCGGAUGAUGUUAAAAUUUGUGUUGAAGUUCAGUCAGACACUGGGAUGUGGAGCACCAACAACUGUGAUGAUCAGAGAGGUUAUAUCUGCAAGACUGCUAAAGUUAUACCACCAACAGAGAAGCCAUCAGUCUCAGUUACACCAACAACAGCGAAGUACUCAGUCCCAGAUCCUCAGGUAUAUGACAAGUCUCACGUAUCGGCUGGCAUCGCUGUAGGGGUCAUGUUGGUCAUAAUCGCUGUCGCAGGUCUUGCCGGGUUUCUGUUCUUUAAGAGAAAUCCCAGGACUCUGAUUGGAUGGUUUGACAGCAAAUUCUAUAAUAACCUCCCCGAGCCUAUUACAGUUUUUGAUAGCAAAGAACCUGCUGCCAACUGAACAGAAUCAAGAUGAAUAACACAUAAACACACACACACACACACACACACACACACACAGUCUUUAGUUUGAAUGUAAUGCGUAUCUUCCACAAUAAUUAUGUUCAAGGGUCUCAUGCACCAAAAUGUUUUACAAGGGGAACAGCUUAAAGUAUUUAAACUAUUAAGUCUGUCAUUGGUUGUGACUUGUAAGAAUCAAUACCAUUGAGUGUCAAUGAUGUCACACUUAGCUGAUAAACAAAUGAGUGAUGUUUGUAAAUACAGAUGUAAAUGGAAUUUUGCCUGAUUGACAAAGUCACAUAAAGCAGUCAUACAACAUCAGAAGAUUUGUAGGUGAUUUUCAUUUUCUAACUUUAAUUGAAGAACAACCAGAUGAGGCUGUAUAAGACUGCAUAAUUAUUAAUUGCAACUAAUCAAUUGCAGAAUAAAAGUUUUUGUAUACAUCAUAUAUGUUUGUUUACUGUGUAUAAUAAUUAAGCAAUAUCGCUCGAGUAGGAGUGUGAUAUAGCUCUAUAUCAUCACGGCUGUGAUUAGGCCAGAGGCACGAGGCCGUAGGCUCCGAGAGCGAUAUUGCUUUUAGGCUAUGUCCACACGAAGCCGUUGCAUUCCCUAUCCAAUCUUUUUUUUCCCUGGUUGUAAAAAAAAAUCCGUAAACACGGCGUCGUAUCAAGAAAUAUCUCCGCACACACGAAACCACUGAAACCGACUGAAAGCGGUGUAGUAUAUAUGCCAGACCAGUAUGGGGCGCUGUAAUUAUGCUACAGAUAUACACUAUACACGGAGAAGAAGACUUUGAGCAUGCGCAUAACUUUACGCGCUGUAUGCGAACGCUACAACAACUUCAAGAGCAAGAGCGGAGUCUUUCUUAUGGACUGACGACGAAGUCCAACUACUACUUAGAGUCACACUCGACUACAAGUCCACUAAGCUCCAACAAAACAUUGACUGGGAGUCGUGUCAAUCUAAAUAUUGUGAUAUAACGGACGCGUUUCAGGCACAGUAUCCGAGGGAGCUAACCGAGAAGGAUUUCCCUCACGAUGCUAGCAUGGUCUCAAAAGCCCAAGUCACCGCAAAGUUGAAAAAUAUACGCAGCAAAUACAGGCAUGCGGUUGACACAGGGCGUCGAAGUGGUCACGGACGGGUAGUACUCAUAUUUUAUGAGCUUUGCGAGGAGAUCUGGGGUGGGUCGCCUGCUACACGCUCCAUCGACACCGGCAUCGAGACAGGUGACCUGGAAGAGUCGUCGACAUCGACAGUGGAGCUGUCUUCCGAUUCUCCAAACUCCACUGAAUCCCUCGACUGUCUUCCAUCUGCGGUUGUAAAGCAGCGCCGGGAUUUGCUCCAGGCAAAGUUGAACAGCCAUAGAGGAGACAGGCUGAAGAGGAAGGUUUCCACCGAUCCGGCAGAGGAGGACCUUAAAGUAAAGAGGAGGAUGUUAGAGUUGAUGGAGGAGUCUUCUAAACGCAACUCCGACAACAU